CCUGAAUCUCAAUGGAGGCCACUUAAGUAAGUAACCUUUGCCCAGCACAGCCAUCUCUGAGGAAGCUCUCACGCUUCCAUGACAUACACAGCUGCACUGAGCAUCUCUCAGCAUGGUUGCUUAUUCAUGCCUAAGGGGCCUACACUUUGGUCCCCCUUUCAGGUAAACCCAGUUUGUCCUUGGCUGCCGGAUGGCUACAGGAGGUUGCAGAAUGAGGGGCCUGGAAAUGGGGGACCUGAUGAAAAAUGCUGUCUUGGGUGGAGCGCCACAGAAAACAGAAGAAAAGUAAAAGUAUCCACAAAGCAUGUCGAGAAGGGGAAAGAGCUGUGGCUCUAUGUUGUCCUGGAGACCUGGAGCAUCUUUGGUGUGGGGAUCUUAAGCCACUCCUUCUGCAAUCACUCUCUCUGGACCUGGACCUUUCUCAUCUUCUUUCUGAAUCCCAAGACGUGAACUGGGACCACCUUUGUUCCCUAUGCAGGGAGCGACUAUGACUUUGACUCAUUGGAGUACUCCUCCUCCUGUGACCACCCUGGAAACAACCCCACAACUUUAGGUACUGAGUCACUGAAAUAAAAUAUCUGUCUGAAAAACUUUGAAAUAUUAUGGAUGACUGCAGAACCACUGAUGUCUCUCCAGUGACAGGUCAUUUCACUGGCCUAGGUUGCAUUGCAGAAGAGCUGAGCACUAGAUCUCCUUACUGCAGAUGAAGGAGGCACCUGCUUAUUCCUGGGAGAACAAUGCUGUUACUACAUCAAGUCCAGCCUAGUAGAGACCCAGAUAGAAUCUCUCCACAUGCUGGGGAAGGAGCACAGGAGAUGAAACCUGGGCAUCUACUCCACUUCCACUGGUUGUAGUCUGUAGGCUUAGAUUUUUUCAAAUUCUACUCUUAAUAUGGGUUCUUAAAUGCUUUAACCUCCCUUCUAGCCCACCACCCACCAGAGGUAGUGAAAAAGAAAAGUUAUUAGAAUACAAGGGAAGUGGACCUGUUUAGAGAUUGUUCUUUGGAGCAAAUCCAGUCUUCAUUGUCAUGAAAUCAGCAGUUCAGUUCACAGAAAUCAGCAGCACCAGCUUGAUUUACUCACAAACACUUCACAAAUAUACCUGCAGUCCAUUUCAGUAGUGUCAGGAUAGCAAACACGAAUCAGUAGUGAUGGCAUGACCUAGCAGAAAUAUCCAGGCCUCAGUGGAAUUGGCACAAGUCAACAGGAGCAAACAGGACCACCAGGGAUGCCAGGAAAAGUUCCCAGCUAUGCCUCUCUCAGCAAAGACAUGAGACCAACAAGUGUUGCAAAGAUAGCUAUGCAAGCCCUCAUCAAUGUCCAUUGAGUCCUAUUUAUACUCCCUCCAAACAUCAUGUGUCCUCCAUGGGUCUUGUUUCACCAUGUGAGUUUGUCUUUGCAAAACUCCACGUGAACCUGUAUUAUCUGACAUCACUCUGCCAAUUGGCUCAGGUCCACUGAAGUGGCAAGAAGCCAUCAGAAUACCACCUGAAGGUUUUUGGUGCAUUUCUCUCGAUGGAGUCACUACAAAUGGAGCCCAGCUAUACAAUAUAAGGCAAACCAAAAUGUGUGUGUCAUUAGUGAAGAAUCCUUCAUCACAUGUCCUUUCACAUGUUUGCUUUAGCAAAACAUCAUUUCACCUGUGUCCACUUCAGGAAAACACUCUUUCACAUGCUUGCCCCAGCAAAACACCAUCCAACACAACUGAAUUUCCAAAGAAACCAUAAGUUUCCACUUUAGCAGCCCCCCCUUUUUAAUGGCUCGCCCUGAUUAGGACUCCUCAUUCUCCCUCAUUCUCAUUUGCUUAUUUUUUUUCUUUUUGCCCCUAGUAUCAUCCACUUUCUUCAGGAACAGAUUAGAAAGGGUUCCCCAGUAAUGGUCAGCCAGACACUUCUUCACUCAUAUCUCCCACUCAGAACAAACUCAUCCUCCCUGUGUUAUCCAUCUUCAGCAGGAAGUAGCCAGACAUGAUCCAGUGCCUAUAUACACAGAGGUACAGAUGUUCUGUUGGAGUCUCUUGCUACCCUUACUCCCGUCUCUCACACGCAUCCUGCAUGGUCCCCAUAAACUCUGUCUCUCCUCCUCUCUCUAACUCCAUCCAUUCAGAAAGCCUCUGAAAAAAAAGAAAGGAGCCAAAAGCCCAUUCCACACUCCUGACAGCUGUUGCAACCCCUUCUCUCCUGAAGUUUCUAACCACCCUAAUUUCUACCUAAUUGACCACACUUGGGCACAAGCCCAGCUUGUGGCUGAUAAGUAAUUCUCCUUCACCUACAAUGGAUAAAACUUCCCUGCCUAGCCUGGACAUGAUUUCUCUGGCCUCAUUCUCUGAGACUGGUAAACUCACCUGGGAGCUGUUUCCAAAUAAGCCUGUCUUUAUACUUUUAAUUUGGCUUGAAUUGGCUUAUUACAUUGGCAGAGAAACCUGUUAACAAGCACAUGCUAGUUUUUAUAGAUAUAUUUUCUGGGUAAAUAGAAGCAUUACACACCAGGACUAAAACUGCUCAAAAACUAGCUAAAAGUUCUUCCAGGAACCAGUCCCUUGAUCUGGCCUCUCCUUAUGAUGGAGUCCAAAAAUAGCCUAGCUUUCACAUCCAAAACCUCUCAACUAAUAGCUAAAGCUUUAAGCAUUGAUUGAAAACUCCACUGUGCAUAUAGACCUCAGAGUUUUGGGCAGGAAGAGUGAACAGGUUGUUAAAAGAAACACUAAAAAACUCUCAUUAGAGUCUGGCAAAGGGUGAAUAGGCCUCUUUCCUUUGCUUUGCUCCAGGCCUACUGCACCUCAUAUAGGGAGGGAUUUACCACUAUGAGAUUAUGUUUGGAAGGCCUCCCUUACUGUUUGCCCAGAUCAGAGACCAGCAGUUGGCAGAACUCUCUGCCAUUCCUUUCCCAAGUCACUACAGGCCCUCCAGUUCUGUAUAAAGGCUAUUCAUUGGAUUAUCCCAAAUUCCCAGCUGGCCUGCAAGUCCACCAUCAGUUUCCCCUUGUUUUAGCCCAGUGGUACCACAUAGGUUAAGCAGGUAGCCAAAGGGGCACUGGAACCAACUUGGAAAGAACCCCACAUGGUGAUAAUCUCCACCCCUAUGGUCAUGAAGGUAGCUGGCAUUAUACCAUGGAUCCACCAUGUCCAGGCCAAGAAAGUGGAGGCAACAGAAGAUGAUGCCAAGUGAACUGUUUCCCAGACUAUGGACCCAUUAAAAUUAAGGUUUCACUACUUCCAUACUCUUCUACUCCCUACCUCUCUACCUCCUCCUGAGUCUUGUAUUUUAUCCCAUAGUUAUAGGUAUGAGUAGAUACUGUGGAUAGCCUUCGGACUAAUUAUAUUGAUGUUAAUUCUGUUCUCUGCAAACAAGGAAUGAGUCAGUACUCUGGUCAUUUCCUGUAAACCUGUU